rnacentral:rRNA from 1 species
UGAGGAAUAUUGCACAAUGGGCGAAAGCCUGAUGCAGCAACGCCGCGUGAGGGACGAAGGCCUUCGGGUCGUAAACCUCUUUUCUGGGGAACGAGUAAGGACGGUACUCCAGGAAUAAGUCUCGGCUAACUACGUUCCAGCAGCCGCGGUAAAACGUAGGAGGCGAGCGUUAUCCGGAUUUACUGGGCGUAAAGCGUACGCAGGUGGCUUUGUUAGUCGGACAUGAAAGCUCCUGGCUUAACUGGGAGAGGUUGUUCGAUACUGCGGGGCUUGAGGUUGGGAGAGGGACGUGGAAUUCCCGGUGUAGUGGUGGAAUGCGUAGAUAUCGGGAGGAACACCAGUGGCGCAAGCGGCGUCCUGGCCCACACCUGACGCUGAGGUACGAAAGCGUGGGUAGCAAACAG